rnacentral:rRNA from 1 species
CAGUCGAACGGUGAAGCAGAGCUUGCUCUGUGGAUCAGUGGCGAACGGGUGAGUAACACGUGAGCAACCUGCCCCUGACUCUGGGAUAAGCGCUGGAAACGGCGUCUAAUACUGGAUAUGUGACGUGACCGCAUGGUCUGCGUCUGGAAAGAAUUUCGGUUGGGGAUGGGCUCGCGGCCUAUCAGCUUGUUGGUGAGGUAAUGGCUCACCAAGGCGUCGACGGGUAGCCGGCCUGAGAGGGUGACCGGCCACACUGGGACUGAGACACGGCCCAGACUCCUACGGGAGGCAGCAGUGGGGAAUAUUGCACAAUGGGCGGAAGCCUGAUGCAGCAACGCCGCGUGAGGGAUGACGGCCUUCGGGUUGUAAACCUCUUUUAGCAGGGAAGAAGCGAAAGUGACGGUACCUGCAGAAAAAGCGCCGGCUAACUACGUGCCAGCAGCCGCGGUAAUACGUAGGGCGCAAGCGUUAUCCGGAAUUAUUGGGCGUAAAGAGCUCGUAGGCGGUUUGUCGCGUCUGCUGUGAAAUCCGGAGGCUCAACCUCCGGCCUGCAGUGGGUACGGGCAGACUAGAGUGCGGUAGGGGAGAUUGGAAUUCCUGGUGUAGCGGUGGAAUGCGCAGAUAUCAGGAGGAACACCGAUGGCGAAGGCAGAUCUCUGGGCCGUAACUGACGCUGAGGAGCGAAAGGGUGGGGAGCAAACAGGCUUAGAUACCCUGGUAGUCCACCCCGUAAACGUUGGGAACUAGUUGUGGGGUCCAUUCCACGGAUUCCGUGACGCAGCUAACGCAUUAAGUUCCCCGCCUGGGGAGUACGGCCGCAAGGCUAAAACUCAAAGGAAUUGACGGGGACCCGCACAAGCGGCGGAGCAUGCGGAUUAAUUCGAUGCAACGCGAAGAACCUUACCAAGGCUUGACAUAUACGAGAACGGGCCAGAAAUGGUCAACUCUUUGGACACUCGUAAACAGGUGGUGCAUGGUUGUCGUCAGCUCGUGUCGUGAGAUGUUGGGUUAAGUCCCGCAACGAGCGCAACCCUCGUUCUAUGUUGCCAGCACGUAAUGGUGGGAACUCAUGGGAUACUGCCGGGGUCACUCGGAGAAAGGUGGGGAUGACGUCAAUCAUCAUGCCCCUUAUGUCUUGGGCUUC